UUUGUUCCAUCCCUGGCAAGGGAGAAAGAGGACUGAAGAGGACUGGCCCGGUAUGACGUAGGCCUGGCAGCCCAAGCAGUCGGCUCUGUUCCUCUUGGGAUCGGUGCGUCACGCGUGUCGACGUGCGAGUGCGUGCGAGCGGCUAAUAGCGGAAUCCACCGCCACGACAAGCGACGGGUUGGCGGUCGGCUAUCUACCGUUGCCCCCCCGCAGUCGUUCCGUCGUUCCCACUUUCCGCACGUCGCGUCGUCCGGGUUCGGCGCGCCGCCUAAUCGGAGCGGAGCGUAGCGUAGCGUGUCGUAGCACAGCGCGGCGCAGUGCAGCGAAGGGAACGCGCGUCGUCGAGUUUAGGGAGCACAACCGGUGGUGGUUGCAAAGCCAGCGCGAUGGUCGUCAAGAUUUACGUAUCGGGUAUCAGCGGCAACAAGGAAGUGAAGAAAAGACAGCAACGUGUAUUGAUGAUUUUAGAUAGUAAAAAUGUAGAAUACGAGAUCAUCGAUAUAACAGAGCCAGACAAGGAAUUGGAGAAAGAAUUUAUGCAAGCUAACAGUAAUGCUAGAAAUAACAAGUAUCCAUUGCCUCCACAGAUAUUUAAUGAGGAUGAUUAUUGCGGCGAUUAUGAAGAUUUUGAUUUAGCGAAUGAAAUGGAUGAACUGGAAAAAUUUUUAAAAGUAACGCCAGCGAUUAGUACUGCAGAAAUCACUCUAGAUUCAAAAUCUCAGAGUGACGGAAUUCAAGAGAAUGGAAAUACUUCAAGUCGAGAGCCUUCUGCAGACAAAGAAGCAGAUGUACUACUUUCCGAUAGUUUACCAGAAAGGACAACUUUAGAAAGUGAGACUAAAGCUUUAGAAGAUUCUAAACCAAUCGAAGUAGAUAGCGCGGCAAAAGUUAUCGCUAGCGAUGAAGGUGAACACACUGAAGAUAGUGGUGAUAAAAAUGAAGAGAAGUCCGACGACCAAGAGAAAGAGGAAUAGAUACGAGAUAUACCCAUGUAAUAUUGGGAUAUUCCACACAAUGACAUCCUUCCUUUUCCACCCACAAACGUAUUUUGCAAAGCUACGUUUAUUACAUUACUAAGGCUGAAUGAAGAUCAAACGCGUCUUCACCAAAUAUUUUGCAACAGGUCUGAUUAGGUGAUAUGAGACAAUUCCUUCAUAUCGCUAUCUUUAUAUUUACAUCCUCACGUUUGUUUAUUAUUUUUGCAUUGCACUAUAUCAUUAUAGCACAUCCGAACUGAAGUAUAUAUAUAUAUAUAUAUAUUCUUUUACAUGUGCUUUCUCGUUAUUUUGUUGUCGCGUGCAAAGCGUACAAAA
rnacentral:misc_RNA from 1 species